rnacentral:rRNA from 1 species
GAUGAACGCUGGCGGCGUGCCUAAUACAUGCAAGUCGAGCGAACGGACGAGAAGCUUGCUUCUCUGAUGUUAGCGGCGGACGGGUGAGUAACACGUGGAUAACCUACCUAUAAGACUGGGAUAACUUCGGGAAACCGUAGCUAAUACCGGAUAAUAUUUUGAACCGCAUGGUUCAAAAGUGAAAGACGGUCUUGCUGUCACUUAUAGAUGGAUCCGCGCUGCAUUAGCUAGUUGGUAAGGUAACGGCUUACCAAGGCAACGAUGCAUAGCCGACCUGAGAGGGUGAUCGCCCACACGGGAACUGAGACACGGUCCAGACUCCUACGGGAGGCAGCAGUAGGGAAUCUUCCGCAAAGGGCGAAAGCCUGACGGAGCAACGCCGCGUGAGUGAUGAAGGUCUUCGGAUCGUAAAACUCUGUUAUUAGGGAAGAACAUAUGUGUAAGUAACUGUGCACAUCUUGACGGUACCUAAUCAGAAAGCCACGGCUAACUACGUG